rnacentral:rRNA from 1 species
GAUGAACGCUGGCGGCGUGCCUAAUACAUGCAAGUCGAGCGAACGGACGAGAAGCUUGCUUCUCUGAUGUUAGCGGCGGACGGGUGAGUAACACGUGGAGAAACUACCUAUAAGACUGGGAUAACUUCGGGAAACCGGAGCUAAUACCGGAUAAUAUUUUGAACCGCAUGGGUCAAAAGUGAAAGACGGUCUUGCUGUCACUAAUAGAUGGAUCCGCGCUGCAUUAGCUAGUUGGUAAGGUAACGGCUUACCAAGGCAACGAUGCAUAGCCGACCUGAGAGGGUGAUCGGCCCCACUGGAACUGAGACACGGUCCAGACUCCUACGGGAGGCAGCAGUAGGGAAUCUUCCGCAAUGGGCGAAAGCCUGACGGAGCAACGCCGCGUGAGUGAUGAAGGUCUUCGGAUCGUAAAACUCUGUUAUUAGGGAAGAACAUAUGUGUAAGUAACUGUGCACAUCUUGACGGUACCUAAUCAGAAAGCCACGGCUAACUACGUG